rnacentral:rRNA from 1 species
AAGAGUUUGAUCCUGGCUCAGAACGAACGUUGGCGGCAGGCUUAACACAUGCAAGUCGGAGGAGAACCGGGACUUCGGUCCCGCGGAAACUGGCGCACGGGUGAGUAACGCGUGGGAAUCUACCCUGGGGUGGGGAAUAACCGCUGGAAACGGCGGCUAAUACCGCAUACGCCUUGAGAGGGAAAGCUUUAUGCGCCCUGGGAUGAGCCCGCGUCGGAUUAGCUUGUUGGUGAGGUAACGGCUCACCAAGGCUUCGAUCCGUAGCUGGUCUGAGAGGAUGAUCAGCCACACUGGGACUGAGACACGGCCCAGACUCCUACGGGAGGCAGCAGUGGGGAAUAUUGGACAAUGGGGGCAACCCUGAUCCAGCCAUGUCGCGUGCGUGAAGAAGGCCUUAGGGUUGUAAAGCGCUUUCAGCGGGGAAGAUGAUGACGGUACCCGCAGAAGAAGCCCCGGCUAACUCCGUGCCAGCAGCCGCGGUAAUACGGAGGGGGCAAACGUUGUUCGGAAUUACUGGGCGUAAAGGGCGCGUAGGCGGAUUAUCAAGUCAGAGGUGAAAGCCCUGGGCUCAACCUAGGAACUGCCUUUGAAACUGAUAGUCUUGAGUCCGAGAGAGGAUGGCGGAAUUCCCAGUGUAGAGGUGAAAUUCGUAGAUAUUGGGAAGAACACCAGUGGCGAAGGCGGCCAUCUGGCUCGGUA